ACUAUUUUGGCAGAAAAAAUGUGAUGGUUUUAGAAAUCAUAAAUGUAUAAAUUUAUAUACAGGUAGUA
rnacentral:tRNA from 1 species